rnacentral:lncRNA from 1 species
UCCCUGCAGGAUAACAAUCUAACUGGACCUAUUCCUUCAACACUUGGUCAUUUAGACAGGUUGACAUAUUUAGACUUGUCUGAAAACAAACUUGUUGGUCCAAUCCCUUCGUCUGUGGGUCAUUUGAACUUUCUUCAAGUUCUUGACCUGCCCAACAACAAACUUGAAGGUCCAAUUCCUUCGACCAUAGCUAGUUUAGUCAGCUUGACAUCUCUGUCCCUGCAUUAUAACAAUCUAAUUGGACCUAUUCCUUUAACACUUGGUCAUUUAAACAGGUUGACAGAUUUAGACUUGUCCGAAAACAAACUUGUUGGCCCAAUCCCUUCGUCUGUGGGUCAUUUGAACUUUCUUCAAGUUCUUGACCUGUCCAACAACAAACUUGAAGGUCCGAUUCCUUCGACCAUAGCUAGUUUAGUCAACUUGACAUAUCUGUCCCUGCAGGAUAACAAUCUAACUGGA